AACGAACGCUGGCGGCAUGCCUAACACAUGCAAGUCGAACGAGACCUUCGGGUCUAGUGGCGCACGGGUGCGUAAGCCGUGGGAACCGGCCCUUGGGUCCGAAUUAACUCCCCGAAAGGGGUGCCAUAACGGGACAUGGUCUUCGACCAAAAGAUUUAUCGCCUUUGGUUGGGCCCGCGUUGGAUUAGCUAGUUGGUAGGGUAAAAGCCUACCAAGGCGACGAUCCAUAGCUGGUCUGAGAGGAUGAUCAGCCACACUGGGACUGAGACACGGCCCAGACUCCUACGGGAGGCAGCAGUGGGGAAUAUUGGACAAUGGGCGAAAGCCUGAUCCAGCAAUGCCGCGUGAGUGAUGAAGGCCUUAGGGUUGUAAAGCUCUUUUACCCGGGAUGAUAAUGACAGUACCGGGAGAAUAAGCUCCGGCUAACUCCGUG
rnacentral:rRNA from 1 species